AGGCGGCGACGCCGAGCGGAACCCGAAAAGGCGCCUCAGUUCGGAUCGGAGUCUGCAACCCGACUCCGUGAAGCUGGAUUCGCUAGUAAUCGCGCAUCAGCCAUGGCGCGGUGAAUACGUUCCCGGGCCUUGUACACACCGCCCGUCAAGCCAUGGAAGCCGGGGGUGCCUGAAGUGUGCAGCCGCAAGGAGCGCCCUAAGGUAAAACCGGUGACUGGGGCUAAGUCGUAACAAGGUAAC
rnacentral:rRNA from 1 species